CAGACGCUAAUCUGAGUGAACCCAGCACGGACCCAAAGGUGACGCAAGCUUCAACCUCAACACCCUUCUGCCCUAGAAAAAAUUACUCUCCCUCAGUGAGCGCGCUUCUGCCUCCUUGACGACUGCUCCCAAUGGGCUUCCCGAACCGCAUCACCCACUCAGUUAUUUCAGAAAUGUUUAUUGUUUGCCUGCUAAAUUCCAGAUCAUCGUAAAGGAGUGGUAGACGAGGUGGGCAUGGUCCCUGCCCUCAGGUAGCUGAGAGUUGCGGGAGACAGGCAUUAAAGACACAUUGACAAAAAAAAAGUAUAAAUUUAGGUGGAAGUCACAAACUGUCAUAAGAACUAUUCCAGAAAAGUAGACUCCAGUGGAGAAACAGGACAACAAGAUUUAGACUGAGAAUUUGGGAAUCCUGAGAUCCAAAGUUUCAGUAAAUUACCCAGACAAAAAGUGAAGAGGAGUUUUCCAGGCAAAGAGCAGAACACAGAAGGCUCUGAAUAGGGAAGAGAUUGGCCCAGAGAACUGGGAAGGCCAAAGUCGCAAAAGCCUGAUAUGAGGAGUUGCAAGAAAUUGGGCUCAUAAAAUCUUCUCCAGAAAAUAUCUGAAGGCCUUUUCUGCCAGUUUUUCCCAGAGCACAGAGUGCCUCAUUCCUGAUCUUGGCCCUGAACUCCUUUCAGGGUGUGUGGAAGCCGUGUCACUGCUGGAGGCACUGCUGGUCAGAAGCCUGGAGAGGUAUUUGAGGCUACACAUUUGGUAUUUGCACUGUAGGCUAUGAGAAGUCUGUGAUGGAUUUUAAACAGUGAAAAGUAACGGGCAAGGAAAAGUAACGGGCAAGGAAAAGUAACGGGCAAAAUCACGUUGGUAAAUGACGAUAAAGCUAAACUCAGAAAAGAAAUCUUGUUCUGUUAUGUCAGGGCUCUUCCCA